AGAGUUUGAUCAUGGCUCAGAACGAACGUUAGCGGCGCGCCUAACACAUGCAAGUCGCGCGAGAAAGGGCUUCGGCCCCAGUAAAGCGGCGCACGGGUGAGUAACACGUAGGUCAUCUUCCCCUGAGUGGUGGAUAACUCUCCGAAAGGAGAGCUAAUACAGCAUAAGACCACGACCUCGCUGAGGUUGCGGCCAAAGCAGACCUCUUCAUGAAAGUUUGCGCUUAGGGAUGAGCCUGCGGCCCAUCAGCUAGUUGGUAGGGUAAUGGCCUACCAAGGCUAAGACGGGUAGCUGGUCUGAGAGGAUGAACAGCCACACUGGAACUGAGACACGGUCCAGACUCCUACGGGAGGCAGCAGUGGGGAAUCUUGCGCAAUGGGCGAAAGCCUGACGCAGCGACGCCGCGUGAGCGAUGAAGGCCUUCGGGUUGUAAAGCUCUGUGGGGAGGGAAGAAUAAGUCUUGGCUAAUAUCCAAGAUGAUGACGGUACCUCCUUAGCAAGCACCGGCUAACUCUGUGCCAGCAGCCGCGGUAAGACAGAGGGUGCAAACGUUGUUCGGAAUUACUGGGCGUAAAGCGCGUGUAGGCGGCUAAGUAAGUCGGGCGUGAAAUCCCACGGCUCAACCGUGGAAGUGCACUCGAAACUGCAUAGCUAGAGUCCUGGAGAGGAAGGUGGAAUGCUUGGUGUAGAGGUGAAAUUCGUAGAUAUCAAGCGGAACACCGGUGGCGAAGGCGGCCUUCUGGACAGUGACUGACGCUGAGACGCGAAAGCGUGGGGAGCAAACAGGAUUAGAUACCCUAGUAGUCC
rnacentral:rRNA from 1 species